UCUUCCCUUCAACAAACCUGCAACCCAAAACCUCCCAAGAGAAAAGGAAACAGAGGCAGAAAAAUGGAGAGAAGGGAGAGUGUGCCGGCCAGGGAGAGAGAGCUCGCUGCCGCCACAGUCGACCACGCCUGCCGCCUCGCCUCCGCGCCACCACGCCUCGCAGUCGAACCCAUUUUCGCUGCUACCACCGUCACGGAGAAGAGGCGUCGAAGAAGGGCCGAGCUCGCGCCUCGUCGCUGCCGUCCUUGGGGCCUCGAGCUGCGUCGCCGUCCUUGGUGACCCACGAACCGAGAUCACACGCGCGGGGUGGAGGACGACGCUGUUGUCGCCGCUGCUUCUCCCAACGCCGCUACUGCCCGUUGAAGCCGACACCGUCGCGGGUAAGGACUCAGGCGAGAGAGAGGAGGUCACAAAGAAGAGAGCCGCAUCCAGUCCCUGAAGCCGCCGCGCCUGGCCUCGUCGGUGAAGCCAUGGCUGCCGUCAUCGGAAUAGAGGGCGAGAGAAAGACAGAGAGCUCGCGGUGGGGGAAAAGACAGGCGCCGCCGUGCUGCACGAAGCUAUCGCCGCCGCUCCUGCCGCCGGUAAGCCUCGGUUAGCAUCGCCGAAGUUCUGGCCAUCACCAUUGUUGAGGAAGCUCACCGGAGUUGCUGGAGGCUGUCGCCGCUCUGCCUGGUUGUGUUGAGUCGCGCCGCCGUGCCUGGUCGCCGGAAAAAUCCGCUGCAGUCACCGAAAAACUCUGCCGGCGCCAUUGCCGGAGUCCUGUCACCGCUACUACUUGAGGUGGCUGCCGAGCUGCUGCCAAACCGGUCCGGAAACCGCCGCUGUUCCGGUUUAGCUGUUCCUUCUUAUUUGCGAGUUGAUGUGGUUACUGCAAAAGUGAGCAAAGCUGUGGUUCAAGCUGCCGGUGAUUGCGGGAUGAGGCGAAAAGGACUCUGUGAGACGUUUGGGUUAUGGAUUUGGGUUUUGAGGAUUUGGGCGCAGAAGUUAUGAAGAGUUUAAUUAUUUGUUAUUGAGAUGCUCUGUAUUGCUUUAGAUUAUUAUUUUUGUACGCUCGCCUUUAUCUUGAUAUAUUCUGUAAGAGGGAUAGGAAUUGUACUGGAUAAUGUUUGUAAUAUUAUUUAUAUAUAUGUAUGUAUAUAUAUAUGGAUGUACUCUUUAUGAGUUUCUGUAAGUUGUAUGGUAUGUAUGGACGUACGUUGUAUGGCGAAAGUAUUUUUGGGAAUGGUAUUGCGGUUUAAAAUUUUAAAUAGGCUCAUAUUUUAGUAUUAAAUAGUAUAAGUGUCAUCGUAAUGUCCGAGCUAUCAGAGUUGCGCAGCCGGAAGCGUGAGCUUUGGUAGUUAGGGUGUUACAUUAUGGUAUCAGAGCAGUCCUUCCUGUAGAGCCUGAGGAGUGGACCGACUAUGCUUCAGUUGCAUACUCUGAGCGUUUGCCAUGUAUUAGGUCUUGUCGAAUGACGAGAAUUAGAGCUUUAUGCACAUGACGGUCUAUUGAUUAACGAUGUUAGUCUUGCAUUGCAUAAUUCUUGGUAUUAAGUUUGGCCGGCUUAAUACUAGUGAAUUUUGCAUAUGAAAGCACUAAUGAGUUAUCAUAGAUGAAAUCCGAGUUUUGAGUUAAGCGAAUCGCAGGUUUUGGGAACGUUGAAAACUUUUCUCGAGGCUGCUCAGUUAUGUGUCUUGAAUUCUGUUCGAGUCGACCUAUUCUUUCGUAUCCUAACUUGAAGUUCUUGGUUACUAAUCCUUUUGAACAGUAGCUUGAUUUUUCAACUUUAU